GUCGUCAGCUCGUGUCGUGAGAUGUUGGGUUAAGUCCCGCAACGAGCGCAACCCUCGACCUUAGUUGCCAGCAUUCAGUUGGGCACUCUAAGGUGACUGCCGGACUAAAAGUCGGAGGAAGUGGGGAUGACGUCAAAUCAUCAUGCCCCUUAUGACCUGGGCUACACACGUGCUACAAUGGGCGGUACAAAGGGUCGACGAACCCGCGAGGGGGAGCCAAUCCCAAAAAGACCGCUCUCAGUUCGGAUUGCAGGCUGCAACUCGCCUGCAUGAAGCCGGAAUCGCUAGUAAUCGCGGAUCAGCAUGCCGCGGUGAAUACGUUCCCGGGCCUU
rnacentral:rRNA from 1 species